rnacentral:tRNA from 1 species
AAUGAAAUGCCUGAUUAAAGGAUUAUCUUGAUAGGAUAAAACAAGUAAUUAAUUUACUUUCAUUA